UGAUAUAUUUAAUUAAUAUUUCGUUAUAUAUCAAUAAUAUAUAUAGUUCAAUAGAUUAUAGCAUAUUUUGAAGUGUAACAUUAGUUAUAUCCAUAAGAGUUAUCAACAUUCAGUCAGAAUGAUUACCAAUGGCUACAUCGAACUUACAACGGCGAGGGGUCUGCUAGUCGACAAGGAUUUCAGGAAGCAGGGCAGUUGUUGAGAGACAUUCAGUAAGAAGUAGUGGAGACGUUGGACAAGGAGCAGAGGAGUCGUUGGAUGAGUAGUGAAAUUGACAUUGGAAGAGGGGUCCGUGAGAAGAGGAAAAUUGGCGUUGGGGAGAAGAAAAUCAAGGGGGGGUCGGAGCAGGAGAUCCGUUUGAUGACCUGUUUGUUGAGGUAAAACCCGAAAACCCUGAAAGCGGGGAGGGUUCUGCAAGAAGAAAAGAGGGAACGUGUAGAAGAAAGGGGGAAAAAGGAAAAGGUCAAGAAAUUAAGUUUUUUUUCUUAAAAAAACCUAUGCCCACCUUAUUUGCAUCCAAAAUACGUAUAAACCUUGCGUUGUCAUGAAUAUGUAUAAAAAUGUGAGGGUUUUUUCACCAUCUAAGUUAGAUUGGAAAAUAUUUAAAAUAUUUGUCUACACAUUGAUAUGUGACCAUAAACUAAAAUAAACGUCAGCAAAAAUCCAACUUAAAAUUUUUUCUUACAACCAUAUAACUUUUUGCCGACGCAUAUAUUUUCUUCGGCAAAAAUGAAGAUGUUUUAAUGCAAUAAAACUAUAUCAACACAUUUUUUUCGUUGUAAAAAAAAGUUAUAAAAUUCUUGUAGUGGAAAUGGGUUACUAACUCCUCGUGUUACUAUUGUUUCUACUUCUGUUAUCUUUACUAUUGGUAAUUUUAUCUAGCAACACUAACUAAAAUGUUCUUGAAAUAUAAAUGUGUAGAAUAAAUUUUUAGAAUUAUAUAAACAAAUAUCAUAAAGAAAAAUCUAGAAAAAUCUUAUAUUUUUAGGUUAAGAAAUUCUAGAGAAUUCUUCUAGAUAAGGAUGAGAUAAAAUAUCUAAAAUUAUGGUAAAUGAUGUAAAUAAAUAUCUCAAACGAAAAAAAACCUAGAAAUAUCCCAAAUUUUAUUUAGGUUAAGGAAUUCUAGAAUUUAUUUAGAUAAAAAUGAGAUUAAAAAAUAUCUAAAAACAAUAGUUAGAAUUCUAGAUAAAUCAUUGACUUGGGUUCAAAAGAUUUCAUGCCUAUAAAUAGAGGUGUGAUCCUCAUUUGUGAACCAAACAAACCAAACAAAGAAAAAAAAAGCAAACAAAGUACGCAAAAAGGAAGAGAGAAAGAGAAUUAAUAAGAAACUUUGAGUAAAAGCGAGUGAGUGUUUAGAGAGUAAAAGAAUGCUCUCUUAAUAGUAUCAAUUUGUUUGUAAAUUUUCUAAAUAAAAGUUUCUUUCUUGCAAGUGUAUUAGUGUAGUUCAAUGUUGUUACGAAGCUGUUAUUUAGUUACUUAUAAUUGCUAUAUCAAUUGACUGUUUAUAUGCCCUCAUACAUCAUUAAUGAAUCAAUAAAUACUUUAUUUACUCUUGCUCAAUAUGGUAUCAGUUGAGAAUUAAAUCCUCCUCAAUCACCACCAUGGCUAAGACAAACCCCACUCUUCAACAUUCUUCAUCCGGUGCUUCUGAAGGCUUAUCUUCAACCACCAACCCCAUUCCAGAAUCUCCUUCCAUCACCGCAAUGUAUGAAAACUCAUACUAUCUUCAUCAUUCCAAUAGUACAAACCUAAUCUUGGUUUCUGAUCUUCUAAUAGAAUCAAAUUACACUUCCUGGAAUCGAGCAUUCACCUUGGCCUCACCGUAAAAAACAAAGUUCGCUUCAUUGAUGGAACCCUACCUUGCCCCACUAACACUCUGUGAAGCUCUUGGAUCAUCUACAACAACAUUGUCACGACAUGGAUUUUGAACUCUAUUUCAAAAGAAGUUGUCGCCACCAUUUGUUUUGUAGAUUCAACUCGAGAAAUAUAUGGUUAGAUCUCCAACAAAGAUACCAAAGAAAGAUUAACACUUCGUCAAAACCUAUAUUAAUCAAACCAAACAAUAUAUAUUAAAUAACGACAAAAUUGUAACACAAAGGUGAUGUAUACAAAAUUAUAAUGUAUUUUAACGAAAAUUAUAAAAAGGCUUACAUAAUGAUCUACAAAGUGCAUUUGAGUUAAUAAAUAAAUAAGAAAAGAUGUCAUCUCGAAAAAUCAUCUCUGACGUCAUCUUUAAACGACUCUUUACCUACAAUCACACCAAGUAAAACACAUUGUUACAAAAUUCAAAAAAUCCAAAAUUUCAACUAAAAAGUUCCAUAAAACCCCAUUCAACUUUCCAAAAUAAGGUAAAGCUAAGCAACAAAGAGUUAAGCGAAAUCAUUCGCCCCUAAACCAACAAGUUAAGCAAACACCCUGCGUUAACCAAAAAGUUCAUAACCCACCCUCAACACAACAAUCAACUCAAUCAUACAACUGGCCUAAGAUAAAAUAACUCAAGAAAAUAAAUCUAGAAAGAUCAAAGUUACAAGUAGCAAAAUCAUGUCUAGCAAAAUCAAAAUUAAAUCAAAGUUUAACCUCCUCAGACCAACUACAAUCAUACAUUAACCAACUUCAAUACAACAUAUAUCACAACCAAAAUCAUUACACAACAAUUUAUCUCAAAUAAUCAUAAUCCAUGGUAAAACGAGAGCAAAGAUUUCUACCAAUCAACUAGAGAAAGAUUCGCAAAAUGGAGAAAGAUGGUCGGUGGCAGUGUCGAACAACGAGAGGACCGCAGUGGUCGGACAUCAGAGGAGUGACGAAAAUGUUCAUGAACCAAUUUUUUCGACUCGACAGACGAAUGUUGGAAUCCUUAUUCAGAUCUAUAAAAUUACAUAUUUGAAGAUGGUUUUCAAAAGGAAACUUCUAAUACCUUUCGUACUGCCUCGAGAAUUCCCUUUUAACGCUGGACAGCUUAAUUAGCUGUCAGGAGUCACCCCAAAACUCUCAACGCCUUAAUUUAAGUCAUCAAGAGUUUCCCCCUUAGUUUUUAAUUUUCGUUUUCUAGUUUCCAUCUCUAUAUGUUGUGUCGGGAGUUGUGAAUUACUCCCAACGUGUUAUGAUCGCCGUCAAGAGAUACUGUCUCUCCCAACUCCUUAUCUUCCAACAACUAUUUUAAACAUGGGAGUUUCUCAAAUUCUUGUAGUUUAUUUCAGCACAAAUGACAGGAAAAGUAUACGAGAGAAAAAAAAAACCUUUUAUCUUCGGAUGAAGAGAGAUACAACUGAACACUCAUAAUUUGGGUAAGUUAAGCACAUACAUUACAAUAGUUUUGCACACAAGCGCACACACUUUACUAGAAGGAAUGAACCCCCAACUUAUUGCAUUGAUAGGAAGAGGUUCAAUGGGAUGGCGCGGAUCUCACAAACGACACUUAAACAUGAAAUAGAGUUUUAAGAUUGUAAGGCUUGAUGGUUUGGAGAUUCCCAUUCCAUAGCAGCUCAGCAUAUAAUUGGUUUGCCUUAUCAGUGAAAUGGGCAGCAUCAAAGAAUAAAUGUUGGCUUGGGUUAUUACACAACUUAUACUCUUCUCCAUUUCUUCCUCCGCAGCUAAAAGAUCCUCUGAAUGGCCCACUUCCACAACAUGCUACCUUUCCUUCCUUCAAACCUUUACCAAAAACACAUCAAAUUCCAGUAACUGAUCCAACUCAAACACUAAACAAUAUAAUCUAAAGAAGAAGAAAUAUAAAUUACUACAUAAGUAUAAGAACAAGUAGAGGUAGUAAAUGUUAAAUGCACAUCUGUAAUUUCCAAAUAGUACGUAUCAUCCUUUUAAGUUCUUUAGUAUGACUUUUUCGAAUAUGCAAAGAUAAUUGUCCUAGAAGAUAUAUAUUCUAGGAAUAUGCAAGGUCCUGUAAUUUUCUAGUGUGUCUAUUAAAUUCGUAGGUCAUUAUUUAGUAUUCUUUAGAGUUGUUUAAUGUCAUCUACCCAUGUAAUCAAGAAACUAAAAACUUCUAAUUGAGCCUAAAUGACAAAAUACUCAAUACAAAAAGUUUCUGCAUAAAUCUCAAUUCUAAACUCUAUAGCCUACCUAAUUUUCAUGUUUUGAAUUGAUUUAAAGCAUGAUAAAAAUGCUUUUUAAAUUCUACUUACCAUAUUUAGCAGGGUUAUUUAAGAGUUCGAUGACAACCGUGAAAGCAUCGAAGUAAGUAUAUACGAAUCCUUCAAGCUCCUUUUCAAGAUGCAGGAGAGUUUUGUAAAGAUGUG
rnacentral:lncRNA from 1 species